AACGAACGCUGGCGGCAUGCCUAACACAUGCAAGUCGAACGAGACCUUCGGGUCUAGUGGCGCACGGGUGCGUAACGCGUGGGAACCUGCCCUUAGGUUCGGAAUAACUCCCCGAAAGGGGUGCUAAUACCGGAUAAUGUCUUCGGACCAAAGAUUUAUCGCCUUUGGAUGGGCCCGCGUUGGAUUCGCUAGUUGGUAGGGUAAAAGCCUCCCAAGGCGACGAUCCAUAGCUGGUCUGAGAGGAUGAGAAGCCACACUGGGACUGAGACACGGCCCAGACUCCUACGGGAGGCAGCAGUGGGGAAUAUUGGACAAUGGGCGAAAGCCUGAUCCAGCAAUGCCGCGUGAGUGAUGAAGGCCUUAGGGUUGUAAAGCUCUUUUACCCGGGAUGAUAAUGACAGUACCGGGAGAAUAAGCUCCGGCUAACUCCGUG
rnacentral:rRNA from 1 species